rnacentral:tRNA from 1 species
UUUACUUUGGCAGAUUAGUGCAAUAAAUUUAGAAUUUAUUUAAAUAUUAAAUAUUAAUAUAUGUAUAA